GCGGGCGAGCGGAUCCUGCUUUCGCAGCGAUCGCGAGCGUGUGGCGAUUGCUUCUGUCUGUUAUUUAGAUAUGGAAGCUGAGGGGAUGCACAGAGGCAGCCGGAACCUGGGUCGGGGUCUCGCUCGGUGCUGACCGCUCCCGGGGUCGAGUAGGCGAUGGGGGAGCCCGGCUUCUUCGUCACAGGAGACCGCGCCGGUGGCCGGAGCUGGUGCCUGCGGCGGGUGGGGAUGAGCGCCGGGUGGCUGCUGCUGGAAGAUGGGUGCGAGGUGACUGUAGGACGAGGAUUUGGUGUCACAUACCAACUGGUAUCAAAAAUCUGCCCCCUGAUGAUUUCUCGAAACCACUGUGUUUUGAAGCAGAAUCCUGAGGGCCAGUGGACAAUUAUGGACAACAAGAGUCUAAAUGGUGUUUGGCUGAACAGAGCACGUCUGGAACCUUUAAGGGUCUAUUCCAUUCAUCAGGGAGACUACAUCCAACUUGGAGUGCCUCUGGAAAAUAAGGAGAAUGCGGAGUAUGAAUAUGAAGUUACUGAAGAAGACUGGGAGACAAUAUAUCCUUGUCUUUCCCCCAAGAAUGACCAAGUGAUAGAAAAAAAUAAGGAAUUGAGAACUAAAAGGAAAUUCAGUUUGGAUGAAUUAGCAGGUCCUGGAGCUGAAGGCCCCUCAAAUUUGAAAUCCAAAAUAAAUAAAGUGUCUUGUGAAUCUGGUCAGUCAGUGAAAUCACAGGGGAAAGGUGAAGUGUCCAGUACACCUUCUGAAAAUUUGGAUCCUAAGUUGACUGUCCUUGAGCCAAGUAAGAAGACCACAGGGGCUCCCAUUUACCUUGGCUUCCCCAAAGUCACAGAGGUUCAUCAUGAGCAGACAGCCUCAAACUCUUCAGCAUCUCAGAGAGGCUUACAGAUGUUUAAGGUGACCAUGUCCAGGAUUCUGAGGCUGAAAAUACAGAUGCAGGAAAAACAUGAAGCCGUUAUGAAUGUGAAAAAGCAGACCCAAAAGGGGAACUCAAAGAAAAUUGUGCAAAUGGAGCAGGAACUGCAGGACUUACAGUCCCAGCUGUGUGCAGAGCAGGCUCAGCAGCAGGCAAGAGUGGAGCAACUAGAGAAGACUUUCCAGGAAGAGGAACAGCAUCUUCAGGAUUUGGAGAUAGCGCAAGGAGAAGAGGACCUGAAGCAACAGCUGGCCCAGGCUCUACAGGAGCAUUGGGCUCUAAUGGAAGAGCUAAAUCGCAGCAAGAAGGACUUUGAAGCAAUCAUUCAAGCCAAGAACAAAGAAUUAGAGCAGACCAAGGAAGAGAAGGAGAAGGUGCAAGCACAGAAGGAAGAAGUUCUCAGCCACAUGAAUGAUGUGCUAGAGAAUGAGCUCCAAUGUAUUAUUUGUUCAGAAUACUUCAUUGAGGUAAUUAUGAACAGUUGCUCACCCCUUCUUUUUUUUUUGAGACAGAGUCUCACUCUGUCAACUCAGGCUGGAGUGCAGUGCCACGAUCUCGGCUCACUGCAACCUCCACUUCCUGGGCUCAAGCAGUUCUUGUGCCUCAGCCUCCCGAGUAGCUGGGAUUACAGGCACAUGCCACCACGCCUGGCUAAGUUUUUGUAUUUUUAGUAGACAUGGGGUUUUGCCAUGUUGGCCAGGCUGGUCUCGAACUCCUGACCUCAGCAGUUUGGAAGGCCGAGGCAGGAGGAUCACCUGAGGUCAGGAGCUCGAGACCAGACUGGCCAACAUGGUGAAACCCCAUCUCUACUAAAACUACAAAAAUUAGCCAGACAUGGUGGUGUGUGUAUGUAGUCCCAGCUAGUCGGAAGGCUGAGGCAGGAGAAUCACUUCAAUUCGGGAAGCAGAGGCUACAGUGAGCCGAGAUCAAGCCACUGCACUCCAGCCUGGGCGACAGAGCAAGGCAUGAAAAAAAAGAAAAAGAGAAAGAAAAAUGUAGGCUAGGUGCAAUGGCUCAUGCCUAUAAUCCGAGCACUCUGGGAGGCCAAGGUGGGCGGAUCACCUGAGGUCAAGAGUUCAAGAUCAGCCUGGUCAACAUGGCAAAACCCCGUCUUUACUAAAAAUACAAAAAUUAGCCAAGCAUGGUGGUGUGUACCUGUAAUCCCAGCUACUCGGGAGGCUGAGGCAGAAGAAUUGCUUGAACCCAGGAGGCAGAGCUUGCAGUGAGCCGAUAUCACACCACUGCACUCCAGCAUGGGUAACAGAGCGAGACUCC